rnacentral:rRNA from 1 species
GGGUCAGUAGGUUGGUCGUGCCACCGGUACGUACUGGUCUCACUGAUUCCUCCUUCCUGAAGAGCCGUAAUGCCAUUAAUUUGGUGUUGCGGGGAAACAGGACUGUUACUUUGAAAAAAUUAGAGUGUUUAAAGCAAGCUAACGCUUGAAUACAUUAGCACGGAAUAAUGAAAUAGGACGAUCGAUCCUAUUUUGUUGGUUUCUAGGAUUGACGUA